rnacentral:rRNA from 1 species
UAGGGAAUCUUCGGCAAUGGACGAAAGUCUGACCGAGCAACGCCGCGUGAGUGAAGAAGGUUUUCGGAUCGUAAAACUCUGUUGUUAGAGAAGAACGUUGCAUAGAGUGAAAAAUUAUGCAAGUGACGGUAUCUAACCAGAAAGGGACGGCUAACUACGUGCCAGCAGCCGCGGUAAUACGUAGGUCCCGAGCGUUGUCCGGAUUUAUUGGGCGUAAAGCGAGCGCAGGUGGUUUAAUAAGUCUGAUGUAAAAAGGCAGUGGCUCAACCAUUGUGUGCAUUGGAAACUGUUAGACUUGAGUGCAGUAGAGGAGAGUGGAAUUCCAUGUGUAGCGGUGAAAUGCGUAGAUAUAUGGAGGAACACCGGUGGCGAAAGCGGCUCUCUGGACUGUCACUGACACUGAGGCUCGAAAGCGUGGGUAGCAAACAGGAUUAGAUACCCUGGUAGUCCACGCCGUAAACGAUGAGUGCUAGUUGUUUGGGGCUAUCCAGCCCUAAG